rnacentral:rRNA from 1 species
GUUUGAUCCUGGCUCAGAUUGAACGCUGGCGGCAGGCUUAACACAUGCAAGUCGAGCGGAGAGAAGUAGCUUGCUACUGAUCUUAGCGGCGGACGGGUGAGUAAUACUUAGGAAUCUGGCUAUUAGUGGGGGACAACAUCUCGAAAGGGAUGCUAAUACCGCAUACGUCCUACGGGAGAAAGCAGGGGAUCUUCGGACCUUGCGCUAAUUGAUGAGCCUAAGUCGGAUUAGCUAGUUGGUGGGGUAAAGGCCUACCAAGGCGACGAUCUGUAGCGGGUCUGAGAGGAUGAUCCGCCACACUGGGACUGAGACACGGCCCAGACUCCUACGGGAGGCAGCAGUGGGGAAUAUUGGACAAUGGGGGGAACCCUGAUCCAGCCAUGCCGCGUGUGUGAAGAAGGCCUUAUGGUUGUAAAGCACUUUAAGCGAGGAGGAGGGUACUGGUAUUAAUACUACCAGCUACUGGACGUUACUCGCAGAAUAAGCACCGGCUAACUCUGUGCCAGCAGCCGCGGUAAUACAGAGGGUGCGAGCGUUAAUCGGAUUUACUGGGCGCAAAGCGUGCGUAGGCGGCUAAUUGAGUCGGAUGUGAAAUCCCCGAGCUUAACUUGGGAAUUGCAUUCGAUACUGGUUAGCUAGAGUGUGGGAGAGGAUGGUAGAAUUCCAGGUGUAGCGGUGAAAUGCGUAGAGAUCUGGAGGAAUACCGAUGGCGAAGGCAGCCAUCUGGCCUAACACUGACGCUGAGGUACGAAAGCAUGGGGAGCAAACAGGAUUAGAUACCCUGGUAGUCCAUGCCGUAAACGAUGUCUACUAGCCGUUGG